rnacentral:lncRNA from 1 species
AAAAAUCAAAAAAUCAAAAAAUCAAAAAAUCAAAAAAUCAAAAAAUCAAAAAAUCAAAAAAUCUAAAAAUCUAAAAAUCUAAAAAUCUAAAAAUACAAAAACUGUUUUUGUGCUGUCGCGUCUGGGCCGUCGUAAAUAAGGGAGUACAUUUAUUAUGCUGAAGGGUGGGGGGGGGUGAAGAUGUUAAGGGGGUCAUCGAAAUAUUCUCUGGCAAUCUGGCAUUAAACGGGGGGCUCGAUAUACUGACGGUGGGGGGGGGGGAGCUCUAAACUUUUCAAAGUUUUGGUCCAGCAGGGGUCUGGAGUGUUCACUCCCACAUAGUUAAUGGAAUAGAUGGUUUGAAAACUCCCCCUACUGUGAAAUUCAGACAAAAAUAUGUAAAAUUCAAGUUAAAAUUUUGACAUUUUCAGGUAAAAUUUGCGUAAUAAAGUAAUUAUUUUUGUGAAAUGAUAACCAUUUUUGUAAAAUACAGUCAAUUUGCAUGAAAUUUGUUUGCGAAUUUGCUUUAAAACACGCCAGAAAUUCAGUCGUAGAAUGUAAACAUUUUCUGGGGGAGGACCCCCAGACACCCUUUUUCUCCCGAAACUUAAUAUGAGAGUGCCAAUCAAUCACAAAAAGCUUUAUUAUUAUUAUUACAUGUAUAAUCCCCCAACAUCCCCCCCCCCCCAAACGUCAGAUGCUUUGCUAGGUCCCUGAUGGUUGUAUUCGAAACCGAUUUCAGUUUCAAGAUAUCCUUAGUCUGCUCUUCUAUAAAUGGAUACAUGAAAUCACCUAUAGCUCACUUAAAUUUUUUUGGCACCAAUCUAAAAUUUAUUUUUUUUAAAAAGGGUGCCAUUUAAUCUGGCGCUAGUGAGGUGAAAGAAGCAGUAGGUCGGUAUUUUAGUUGAGGAGAAGUACAUGCUUGAGCAUAUCAGACAUCUUGAGGAGCUGCAAAUUGUAUAUAUGAUGUCUACGAUAAGAGAGAAUUCCGGAUUGUAUUGCUUCGAUUCCGAAUUCUGGAGGGGGGGGGGGGCAUUGAAAAUUUUAGAAACUUGGAGGGGGGCAUCGGAAAUUUACCAAUAAUCUCAACAGGGGCCCUGUUAAGACAUAUCCAUCUCCCACCCCCCCACCCCCUCGGCAUAAUAAAUGUAAUUUCCCUAAACAGUGAUCAUGUAUAUAUAUUGUAGUAUAAAACUUGAUGUAUGUACAAUAAAGUAUUCUAAACCAGAAUGCGGUGCACCACACACGUCGAUUGGACAACUAGUAGCUUAAGAAAAGUUUUCCCGUAAUACCAUAACGCAAUGGCACGUUUUUGACCAAAUUUUUUUAAAAAAACAGAAGGGCACCUUUGAUGUUAGUUUAGUAUUUACAGAGACAUUAGCUUGUACAAAAAGGGCACUUUUCAUCACAAAAAGGGACACUUUUCGUCCUUUGAAACAAUUUGGGAGGGAGGGCACGCGCUCCCUCUGCCCCCCUCUUCCUACGCCCCUGAUUCUAAGACCACUUGAUCCCGAGAUUGAAGGCUUUAUGUAGAUGAACAUUUCGAGUGGAAGAUUCAUAUAUAUAUUUAAUUUAGACCUAUAACCAGCUGCGGAAAAUAGAACUAUAGCAGGAAUCGAACCUACGGACCCGCAAUUCCGUUGCAGUGCUCUAACCAACUGAGUUAUAGAGUUCAGUUGUCGAGCUCCAACCACAAGUUCUUGUUUAUAUACAGUAUAUAGUACAGGUGAUGCCAUUAUAUAAAAUAUGAACAGAUUGAAAGAUUUAUGUAGGAUGGAAAUUUCAAGCACAAAUUUCAAGAAAAAUCCCAAGCGCAAAUUGAGAUUUACAGCGUCAUAUUCCCAAAAAUCUCUAUAUUUAGCCACAGGUUCGAUUCCUGUCAGUUGACAGCAUUUUCGCAGCUGCUCCUGUAGUUAAGUCUGUAGUUAAGUCUAAAAUUGUAUAUAUUGAAUCUUUCGUUAUAAAUUUCCAUCUACUGCAUGCAGGAUCGCCGGGAGAGAGGCAGAGUGGAACUUUAUCUCGGGCGGGGCUCCAAAACAAGGGACCCUUAAAAUUUAUUGAUGCAAGAUUGAUGAACUCAGAAUAUAAAUCCCAGUACCCAGAUGAAUAAUACAUCUAAAAAUCUCAAAAAAUUAAGAAAAUUGUCGGCAAAAAAUAAACGAUUUUAUGUCCGCAAAUUUUUUCCGGCACCAAAUUUCCGGCGCCAAUUUUCCGGCGCCAUAUGUCGUGGAAAUUUUUUGAUCAAGAUUAUACGUAUAGUGUAAUUUACAGCAUGAGUUCCACAUUUGAAUUUUAUUAUACCAGUAAAUUGUUAAACGCGUCCGAAUUUAUCAACAUGAUAAAUGCCAAAUUCGCGGCACCUAACCCUUAACCUUAAUUUUGUGUUACACAGCUUCGAUCAUGUUAUAUAUACCCAUUAUCAGUAACCUUGCCCGCUCAUUCAAGUGCUACAGUAUGUAUAUCUAUACUGAAAAAAAAAUCAAUCCAAAAAUCAAAAAAUCAAAAAAUCUAAAAAUCAAAAAAUCAAAAAAUCUAAAAAUCAAAAAAUCAAAAAAUACAAAAAUCAAAAAAUCAAAAAAUACAAAAAUCAAAAAAUCAAAAAAUACAAAAACUGUUUUUGUGCUGUCGCGUCUGGGCCACCGUACUACUCCCAUAGGAUACAAUCUCUUUAUAUUCAGACACAAUUUGAAACGGAAUACUCUAGAAGGCAGAAACAGCUGGGAAAUUUGUUUUGCAUGUGCCCAGCUUGGCCUGCAUGUAUCUCAUGAAUAUUGUUCGAUACGAAGGGACCUUUAAAUACAUAAACAAACAUGGCAAUUAAUUCUUUAAAACCCGGUUUUGUGCUUCUUUGUCUUUUUAUAGCGACUGUAUUCUCUUUUAGAAAUAAAACAAAAUUUUUUUG